rnacentral:lncRNA from 10 species
CUGGAAUCCCCCGCCAGGUCCCUGCCCCAGCGCCCGGCACCUGAUCCCUGCAGGGCCCCCAGGGUGGAGCAGCAGCCGUCUGUGGAGGGUGCCGCGGCCCUGCGCAGCUGCCCCAUGUGCCAGAAGGAGUUCGCCCCCAGAAGCAAAAACAGCUCGGGAAUGCGAAGGCACCGGAGUCCAAAGUUGGCAGCCAACAACAACAACAACAAAAGAAAAGGCCGGGCACGGUGGCUCACGCCUGUAAUCCCAGCCCUUUGAGAGGCUGAGGCAGGCGCCUGCUGAGCCUGGAGCCCUGGCAGAGGCGGGUCUGGGGAGUGGAGCUGCCAGGAGGCCUCCCAUUUCUCACAGCCUUGGUGUUCUCCGGGUCACCCAGAGGACCGUCAAAUGCUGGAUUUGACAAACUAUGUAGAAUGUUCUUUGUGUCUUUAAGAUCUUCUUGUGGUCCUAUUUGG